rnacentral:rRNA from 1 species
CCCUUAGACGUCCUGGGCCGCACGCGUGCUACACUGAUACGUACAACAAGGUAUAUGCAUUCAUGCAUCGAUGCUGCUCCGAAAUAGACACAGCUAAAUCUUCUAAAAUACGUAUCGUGCUGCGGAUAGAUCGUUGAAAUUAUGGAUCUUGAAGGUGGAAUUCCUAGUAAGCGCGGGUCAUCAACCCGCGUUGAUUACGUCCCCGCCCUUUGUACACACCGCCCGUCGCUCCUACCAAUUUCGAGUGGCUCGGUGAACCUCUUUGGACUGUCGAGCAAUCGCGAAAUUAGAGUGAACCUGGUCACUUAGAGGAAGGAGAAGUCGUAACA